GGCUUCUAGUAGCUCAGUUGCUUAGAGCAUGGUGCUGGUAACAGCAAGGUUGCAGGUCCAAUCCCUGUACAGGCUU